rnacentral:rRNA from 1 species
GGGCCCGCACAAGCGGUGGAGUAUGUGGUUUAAUUCGAUGCAACGCGAAGAACCUUACCAGGGUUUGACAUCCUGCGAAUCUCUUGGAAACGAGAGAGUGCCUUCGGGAACGCAGUGACAGGUGGUGCAUGGCUGUCGUCAGCUCGUGUCGUGAGAUGUUGGGUUAAGUCCGGCAACGAGCGCAACCCACGUCUUUAGUUGCCAGCAUUUAGUUGGGCACUCUAGAGAGACUGCCGGUGAUAAACCGGAGGAAGGUGUGGAUGACGUCAAGUCAUCAUGCCCCUUACAUCCUGGGCUACACACGUGCUACAAUGGCGUUGACAAAGAGCAGCGAUAGCGCAAGCUUCAGCUAACCUCAAAAAUACGUCUCAGUUCGGAUAGAUCUCUGCAACUCGAGUUCUUGAAGUUGGAAUCGCUAGUAAUCG